CUCUAACCAUAAGUGACUUCCAUUUAGAGUCUGCCAUUAUGUGUAUGUACGACUAUCUAACACUCUUCAUGGAUGGUACACAAAUGGGUCCAUUCUGUGGGGAUCGCACCAUCCCUGUGUAUUACUCCAAAGGCAACUCUAUGGUUCUCGUAUUCCACAGUGACAAGUCUACCCAGGCAAAGGGCUUCCAAGUCUCUUACACCUUCUUUCAAUAGAUGAGCAACAGAUGUCACAAAGAGAAAAUCUACCGGUUCUGGAAGGAAGGCGACAUCACUACAGGACACAAUGGGAAUUUGAUGGAACACGUAUAGAAAAGUUCACACAUUUGUAAACAUAUAUAUAUAAUGAUUAAAUGUACAUCGAAUCAUGCUAUUGUUUGCAAUUACAUUUAAAAAUACAAAAUAAUAUUUCUGAAUUGUUUUCCCAUUUGAUUGGUAUUUUGAUUGGCUUGGUUAGGAAUAGGGGAGCUAAUUUUGGCGUCCUCUGGUUUCAUGGUGAUUUACAUUUAUCCUAUAGUGAUAAUUCUUAUUUCUUUAUCUUUCUUUUUACCUACUUAUUAUUUUGAGGGAGUGAUUGGGAUAUAUAUGACAGUCUGAUCUGAUGUUUUCCUUUCCUUUUUCAAAAUAAACUAUAUUAAAGAAUUAA